UUAUGAACUCUGUUUCCACCCCUUCACUUCCCUUCACCCUUGUAACCGAGCUGACAUUGGAACCGAGCGAUAAAACGCAUGUUUUUUCUGUGUCUCCAGCAGAAGUGUAUGGACAGAAGCGCGAUACAGCGGCGCGUUCUGGACAUGUUUUUAUACUCUGUACUGUGUCUCGGGCACGCGCUCUGUCAGAGGCUGAUUUGGAAAGUGUACUCACCACGAGACAUGUCGUAGCUCCAGAAUACGACAAGCAGGGAUUCCUCAUUAAGCUUGAUGGAAAACUGCCCCUUGAGCUCCAGUAUAAAUAUGGAAAUCUCAGUAAAGGCGAGUGUAAACCAGGCUACGCAGAAGCCAAGAUGACAUCAAUCUAUCCAAAAUUUUCAAAACCAGCCCCCAUGUUCCUCGAUCCAAAUUUUAAACGGCUGUCAAGGAUCAGCAGUUACCCACCUCCCUUUGGAGUGAGAACACAAGAAAAGAUCAUCGAUACUAUUUUAGCAGCUACAAAGAGAUAUUCACUGGGCCCUGAACUGGACAGAAUGAGUUGUAAAAGGUGUAUUAUUAUUGGCAAUGGAGGCAUUUUGUUCAACAAGUCCUUGGGGUCCAACAUUGAUGGAUAUGAUGUUGUUGUACGACUGAAUGAGGCUCCAGUCAGUGGGUUUGAGAAGGACGUGGGCUCAAAGACGACCAUGCGUAUCACAUACCCUGAAGGAGCCAUCCAGAAACCAGAGCGCUACGAGAAGGACUCGCUUUUUGUCCUCUCUGCCUUCAAACUGAUGGACUUCAAAUGGCUCCAUCACAUGGUGUUCAAGGAGAGACUGUGGAGUAUGGAGGGCUUCUGGAAGUCUGUGGCGCAUAUCAUUCCUAGAGAACCCAAGGACAUGCGUAUCCUCAAUCCGUAUUUCAUUCAAGAAGCAGCCUUCAGAUUAAUCGGCCUUCCACACAACAAAGGUCUCAUGGGCAGAGGGAAUAUUCCUACAUUGGGGACCGUUGCGAUCACGAUGGCCCUUCAUAACUGUGAUGAGGUGGCAGUGGCUGGGUUUGGAUAUGACAUGAAUUCGCCUAAUGCUCCUCUACACUAUUAUGAGAAACUCAAGAUGUCUGCAAUCAAAGAGCAUCCUUGCAUUCUUUCCUCGUGUCUUAUGAGGGAGAAGUUGAGAAAAAUAAAGAAAAAAUAAGGAUACACAAUUAAAGAUAUGAGAAGCACCCCGUGAUGGAGUGAUAUUGAAUAAACAUGGAUCUGUAGUCGACUGUGUGAUCACCUGGAAAUGACCAACCUGCGGCGUACAUUCUUUCAGUUAUAUCAGAUGCAUUGAUUCAGCAAAUGAGUGUGGGAGCAGUUCGUCCGGUACCUCCAGCUUAGAGGUCUGCAACCCGACCUGGGCCCGACGGGACCCGAGAAACCAAUGGGGUUCGGGUUUCAUUUUAAGGCCCGUGCAGACCCCUACUCCAGCUACAACUUCUUUUUUAAACUGUUAUUACUAUUUUGAUGAAAAUAAAUAAAACUGUAGAAACUAUGUGAAAGUUGUUUUUAUUUAUAUAAUUGUUUUUCACCAAUUUUCUUAAAUCUUUGUUGAUAUUUCAACAGAAGUGAUGUAGAAUCAACAUCAGAUUCUAACAUUGAUUCAAUGAUGUUAAUAGAUUUUUUGGUUGAGAUUUUCAUGUUGUUUCAACAUUAAAGAGCACUUAUAAUGGUUUUUAAAUACGCCUAAUUUUGUUUUAAAGGUCUCAUACAAUAGAUUUACAUGCAUCCAAGGUUAAAAAACACUUUAAUUUGCUCAUAAUUUAAAUUGCAGCAUUACCUAUUUUCCCAGUGUCAGAAACAACUCGUUCAAUGAUCUCCUUUCAGAGAGCCUACUCUGCUCUGAUUGGUCAGAUGUUCCAGUCUGUUGUGAUUGGUCUACCGCUUAGUGUAGUGUUUGAGGGCGGGUCAAAGCUGUUCGCAAGCAGCCAGUGAAGACCAGAGGCGGGUUUUUUGUUACCAAAUUAAGUAGGUUAAGUAGGUACAGAGGGGUCACGUGACACCAUGCAAGGAGCAGACGUGUAAGCGACGAGCUCUGCGCACUUUGCUAAACUUUUUAUUUUCAUGUUAUAAUCUGGUGAAUUUUGAUACACCCAGUUACAAAUUUUUUCUUUGAUGCAAAACAUGGCAAAGAAGUCAAAAUCCUCGGGCUCUGGAGACAUUAAAAGACAUUUACGUGUUCAGGAUGAAAGCCCCGACAGGCCUACAGACCGGGGACUCGAUUUGGAUGGCGCGGUGGGAGAGGUGAUCCAGCGUCAGUUGUCCAACAUGUCGGUGAUGUUGACGAAGGUUCUUGCUGACUUGGAGGAUCUCGCUGUAAUAUGUCGAUCGAUUACGGCGAUGGAAAUAAAAUUCUCUGAACUAGUUACAAGAGUGUCAGAUGUUGAGAGAUGAAUCGAUUUUCUGGAAUCUUCGGAGAGGGAAUUAACCGCUAAUCCGCCCGCGACCAAAGUUGAUUUGGAACAUGUCCUUGAAAAGCUUGAAGAUCUUGAGAAUAGAAGCCGCAGGGAUAACGUUCGAAUUGUUGGAAUUCCUGAGCAUGAGGUGGGCAGAGAUAUGGUGAAAUUCAUAGACGACCUCUUCCCGAGUCUGCUCGACAUAACAGGCCACAAGCUGGAAAUCGAGCGAGCUCACAGAGACCCAGCUCACAGAUCUGCUGAGGAAGACAGGCCCCGAUCGAUUCUGGCCAGAUUUCUGAGAUCAUCCGAUAAAGAUCUUGUGUUGCGCCAAGCGAGGACCAAAGGGGAGCUUUCUUGGAAGAACCAUAAUAUUUUCUUGUUCCCGGACUUUGCGAGUUCAACAAGAGAGAAACGCGAUCGGUUCAAGGAAUAUAAGAAACUCUUACAUCGGCGAUAGAUUACUUUUGCUCUGAUGUUUCCGGCCAAAUUGAAAAUAGAAACGAAGGUCGGUCGCAAAGUAUUUACUUGUCCCAAUCAGGCAAUGUCUUUUAUAGAAUCAGUGGGUGAGUAAACCAUUGGAUGUUUCUCAUCUCGCUGUAAUUACUCUUAAGGAAGCUGGGUGUCAUUUUGGUUUCUUUUUUCUUUUUGAGUCGGCUCUGCCUAGUGGCUGGAGCUUGUUUUUUGAAUAACACUUUUCCUUAAAGAAACGUUUGCAUUGACGAAAGGUUACAUUUGCAUUGAAGUUCCCGGCCAGUUUGAGAGUGGACACUGUGGAUGACCGCAAAAUAUCUACAUGCUCACACAAAGGAUGUCUUUUAUAAAGUUGACGGAUUGUGUAAGUCAUGGUAUAUAUAUGUUUAUGCGGCUUCCGAGUGAAUUGACUCGACCAUCCGGGGAACCGGGAUGCUGGUUUUGUUUCUUUUUGUAUUGAUUCCGCCUAGCGGCUGGAGCUUGUUCUAUUGAAUAACACUCCUUUGGAACAGCUGUGGAUUAAUCUGUUCAUUCUUCGUGCUUAUUCCUCCUGCUGGCUGGAGUUUGUUUUGUUGAGUUUUUUUAUGGGACAUUGGAAUGAUUAUGUCAUCCGCUGAACUUAUAACAGCCGGCUCACUGAACAUUCGUUUGUCUGUCCGAGGAAUCUGAACGGUUUUAUAUCAGCUGGAAUUUGUUUUGUGGAAGAUCACACCUUUGAGACAGUUCUGUGAAUAUAUACACAUUCUUUGUGUUCAUUCUUCGUACUGGCUGGGUUUAUUUGACCAAGUAUUUUCUGUUAUUUAAUUUUGCCUCACAAAUUUGUGAGGCAAAAUUGAGCAAUCCGACGGCAAAGUUGUCGUGGGGACUCGUGGGCGUUCAUGGACCUUUUGAAUUUAGAGGGAUUGUCGCUGGUUGGCGCUUUCGUGCGCGGGGUUAAUGCGCACGUUUUUCUUUUUUCUGUUUGUUUUGUUCAGGGGAAAGUUCGGUGGUUGAUUGUUUCACUAAUGGGGAAUGUGGUCUGUAUAAUUUAGUUUUUGACACAGUUUUUUUUUUUUUAUUAUAUCAAUAUGUCAGUUGUUAAUAAGAGUGUACUAUCUCUCUCCACAUGGACAUGUUUUUUUUAGUGCUGGCUCAAGUAAGAGCAAGGGAGUCAUUAUAUUGGUAAAUAAACAUCUACAAUUCAAAUGUCUCAAACAGACUAAAGAUAAAUUAGGGAGAGUUGUUAUUGUUUUAGCAGAAAUUCAGGGGCAAAGGUUGAUUUUGGCUAAUAUUUACGCACCUAACGCUGAUGAUCAGGGCUUUUUUAUAGAUCUUGAAGGGAUGUUGCAAACCACUGGCACCCCUCAUGAUAUAAUAUUGGGAGGAGACUUUAAUCUUUUGAUGGACUCAGUCCUUGAUCAUAGUGAAGCAAAAGUGUGUAAGCCCCCUAGAGCAAUAUUGAUGCUUCACAGGAUGUGUAAAAAUCUUGGUCUUUCAGAUAUUUGGAGACUUUUGAACCCAUCUGGUAGGGAUUAUAAUUUUUUUUAAUCAGUCCAUAAGAUUUAUUCUAGAAUAGAUUUUUUUUUUAUAUCCAAAUCCCUCAUUUCAUCUGUUGUUGAUUGCUCAAUUGGAAAUAUCUUAGUUUCAGAUCACGCCCUGGUGAGUUUAGAGGUGAUGCCAUAUACAGAGAAAAAGAAAUCAUAUAGUUGGUGCCUUAAUGUGUCCCUUUUGCAAAGUCCUGAUUUCCAACAAAUGUUAAAGACUGAAAUCAAUGUUUAUAUGGAGACCAACUGGUCCUCAGUACCCUCUGUGGGCAUGGCUUGGGAGGCACUUAAGGCGGUUCUUAGGGGUCGGAUCA